rnacentral:rRNA from 1 species
GACGAACGCUGGCAGCGUGCCUAAUACAUGCAAGUCGAGCGAAUGGAUUAAGAGCUUGCUCUUAUGAAGUUAGCGGCGGACGGGUGAGUAACACGUGGGUAACCUGCCCAUAAGACUGGGAUAACUCCGGGAAACCGGGGCUAAUACCGGAUAACAUUUUGAACCGCAUGGUUCGAAAUUGAAAGGCGGCUUCGGCGGUCACUUAUGGAUGGAACCGCGUCGCAUUAGCUAGUUGGUGAGGUAACGGCUCACCAAGGCAACGAUGCGUAGCCGACCUGAGAGGGUGAUCGGCCACACUGGGACUGAGACACGGCCCAGACUCCUACGGGAGGCAGCAGUAGGGAAUCUUCCGCAAUGGACGAAAGUCUGACGGAGCAACGCCGCGUGAGUGAUGAAGGCUUUCGGGUCGUAAAACUCUGUUGUUAGGGAAGAACAAGUGCUAGUUGAAUAAGCUGGCACCUUGACGGUACCUAACCAGAAAGCCACGGCUAACUACGUGCCAGCAGCCGCAGUAA